GUCUACGGCCAUGCCACCCUGAACAAGCCCGAUUCCGUCUGAUCUCGGAAGCUAAACAGGGUCGGGCCUGAUUAAUACUUGGAUGGGAGACCACCUAGGAAGACCGAGUGCUGUAGGCA
rnacentral:rRNA from 1 species